GUGUGUGUGUGUACUUUCAUGACUUUUUUCCGUAAUUCCAUAAUCCAUUAACUAGCAUUACAGUGUUACAGUAAUGUUUUUUUCAUUAAUGAGUGACAUAUGAGGUUAUAACUUGAAGUCAAGUUACUCAGCCCAGCAACACACCAUCAAAUUUGAUUUGACUUGUCAAAGUGAGCAGCUUGUUAGCUGUCUAACCUGCGGUUUGACGAUGGGUUGAUAUGGAUUUAGUUUUUAGGGUGAAGGGUCCGGUGACAUUAUCUUGGUGCAAGGUCUUGAGGUGAGGGCAGGCGGUUACUCUUAACAAAAGUGGAGACACUAGACUCUUGUUACUGCAAACUUGUCCAAUUGACAUACUGUCUGUUCUUAACUGGUUAGUUAACGUUGACAGCUGGCAAACUUACAGGAGUAUGGUGUUGGAAAGUAGCCAAGCAGAAGAAAACUAGUAAAUUAAUUUUAAGUACAGUUUUGGAAGGAGCUUGUAUUUUACUUGAAUACUUGCCUUGUAUGCGUUUCACAGUAAUUUAUCACUUUUGACUUUGGGUAGUUAGUAUUAAAACUAUCAUUUGAUAGUAAUUAAUUUGAUUUUUCAAGUAUCUUGCCCACCACUACUAUUGUGUGUUUUACAUUUACACAUGUUAUGAAAUGUGCAAACCACAUUUCUCCUGUUGGAUACUAACUUACUGAACUGAACUUAUGCUUAUGGGACACGACGUGCCAAUCAGUGUGAAAGUUUUGGAUGAGUUCUGGAUUUCCAGUCCAUAAUUUUUAGUGGAAGAUGACAAAUCUGGAGGAACUGUCAUUAAGUGACGUAUAGAAACUUAACUGCACAGGCAAGUAAUAUUUUCUUUUCCUCCUUUUCUUCCCAUGACCACUGGCUGUGCCCUGAGAGGCCCUGCCGGCAUAGUUUGACCAUAAACAGGCAUGAGAGGAGGGCAGAGCAACACACGGACGUAACAUGCAGAUGCACACAAAGACGCAACAGAGACAAGAAAGACAAGAUGAGAUAUCAGUUUGAAUGUAAAACCUACUCCCGUUGGCAGAUAUGAAUAUGAAACAUAUAUAUAUAUAUAUGCCCAUAGUUUUUGGCAACUCAAAUGUUAGAGCUAUAAUUUCUCUUCUGUUUGAUACGGAGGACAUCGUGUUGAGUGGAUAGCUGCUCACUGCCUGAGCAGUUCAGUGCUGUGGAGCGACUGACGGCUCCAGAAACAGUUGCUAAUGCCUUAUUGUACAAUGCUGGACAAUUUAACAGCAAUGUACCACAGACCACAACACACACACACACACACACACACAUCCACGCAAAUCCCCCUGUGUUGCUGCCAAGAUGGGCUCCCUACCCAGCCGCUCACUAUACUCACAGCUGUAGACAUGCGUGUCGUAUUAAGAGUGGACAGGAACCUCGGACAAUACACGGGGCGCAGGCAUGACUAUAAAGAGGUGGCGGUGAAGAAGAGAAAAGAGGGUUAGGUCAUCUGGAAGGACGUUUAUCACUCAAAGCCCAAAGGUGAAACGAGCGAGGAGGAGGUGAAGAAGGAGAAGCAGAGGGAAAGGCAAAAUAGAAAAGGCAAAAUGUGGAUUUAAAAAAGAUAUAGAUUUAUGAGCGAGGGAGUGGGAAUAAGGAAGACAGGAUCUGGGAUUAGAGAGUUGGGGGAUAACAUGCAGUAAAUAGUCCGGCUGAUGAGAAUCAAACCCAGGGACCUGCUGCUGAAGGUGUACAGUACAGUACAGUACAUCCUCAACAUUCAGCCCCCCCCCCUGCCAACAGGAUGUACAGAACCAUAUGAUCGGAAGAGGAACAGGAAAGAAGGAGACUCCACGAGAAUAGCUUUGGGAAACUGGUCUCUGUGUAACAUGAGUUUCCCGGUGGUUCUAACACACUCGGGGCCCUGUUGGGGCCCUCCUGCUUUCCAUCUCUCUGUAAGUUAUGUAUUUCUAUGUACGUACUGUGGCAUAGAAAACUUCAGGGUCAGACAGGGGACAGAUACCGGUCAUAGUUUUCGAAGACGAUCAGCACACGGUCUCUCCACUGCUUGUGCCAACACCAUCAUGCACUGAUGGAAACCACAAAUGUUCACAGCAUAAACUUUUCAGUCUCUAUAAAAAGAAAAUAAUCAAUAUAUAUGUAUUUUUUCACUUUCUCUAAGCAAAUUUUUAUUUUUGAACUUAACAUGACAAUAUAACCUAGCCCGCUUCUUUGUAGACUGCACUCAAUAAAGGGAAGUAGUAGGAGUGUACGCCAUGUCUAAAAAGUACUUAAGUGCAUCAACUUCUAUCUGCAUGACAAUAAUAGCAAUACUGUACUUUUUGAUUAGCCUCUUCCAGCCUGUCUGUGUUUUUUUGACUAUUGUCACAGUACAAAAUCCCCCGAAAACAAUAAUCACGAAACACUAAUUCAGGAAAGAAGCAAGAGUAAAUCUCAAAUUAAAGCACACACUGUGUGUAUACUUCACACCGUGACAUCCAAGUGAGCCUCACGUGGGUUUAACAUACUGUAUCAUUUUAAUGUUCAUGAUGGGUUGAGGUUUUGUUUAGACUGUGAGGUACAGAUGUUUAAGCACUGCAGCAAGCUACACGGCUCAUCAGAUCAUGUACUGUGAGCCAGAGAGGUAAUAAGAGUCCUUCCAGAUGUUGCUCUCUCCCGAGUUAGUGGUCCUCCUCUUACACUGGCAGCAGCGCUUGUACUGUGCAAGCUUAUCUACCAGCAGCUGACCGGCAGACCUGACCACAGGGAGACAGAAAAACAACAACAAAAAACGGAAGAAUAAAUGAAAACAUGUCACCCUACAUGAAUGAUUUAGGAAUCUGUGUAAGCAAGUCACUGACAAGCUGCAUCAUCUCAGGUUCAACACAAUCAGUGUCAUUUAAAAUCAAACAGCAACGACGGAGAAGUUCAGUCUUUGAAUACCAGCAAUCAGGAGAUUAUCUACUCAGAGUGAAAGAGCAGUGUGUUGUAGACUUUCAAUAUUUGAAAUUUUUACAUUCAAUCAAACCACUUUUUUUGUAAUAAAAGAGAGAAAUCAUCAACAAAAACAGAGCUUCAAGAGAGUGGAUAUUUGAUUCACAGUAUAAUUGCCAGGUGGCCAGAAGAACAGCUCUAAAUGAAACUAGUGUCAUGUAUAUAUAAAUUAAUCACUGUACGAUUGCUAGUUUGCCUACAUAUGACUUCGAAGUUGAUGACAUGUGAAUCUUCUUUUAGUAAUUUUAUGCUCUGUCCAGAUCACUUAUUAAACGUCUAAAGCUAA